rnacentral:rRNA from 1 species
GUGGGGAAUUUUGGACAAUGGGCGAAAGCCUGAUCCAGCCAUGCCGCGUGCAGGAUGAAGGCCUUCGGGUUGUAAACUGCUUUUGUACGGAACGAAAAGACUCCUUCUAAUAAAGGGGGUCCAUGACGGUACCGUAAGAAUAAGCACCGGCUAACUACGUGCCAGCAGCCGCGGUAAUACGUAGGGUGCAAGCGUUAAUCGGAAUUACUGGGCGUAAAGCGUGCGCAGGCGGUUAUAUAAGACAGAUGUGAAAUCCCCGGGCUCAACCUGGGAACUGCAUUUGUGACUGUAUAGCUAGAGUACGGUAGAGGGGGAUGGAAUUCCGCGUGUAGCAGUGAAAUGCGUAGAGAUGCGGAGGAACACCGAUGGCGAAGGCAGCCCCCUGGGAUGACACUGACGCUCAUGCACGAAAGCGUGGGGAGCAAACAGGAUUAGAUACCCGUGUAGUCC